rnacentral:rRNA from 1 species
GAUGAAUGCUGGCGGCGUGCCUAAUACAUGCAAGUCGAGCGAACAGAUAAGGAGCUUGCUCCCUUGACGUUAGCGGCGGACGGGUGAGUAACACGUGGGUAACCUACCUAUAAGACUGGAAUAACUCCGGGAAACCGGGGCUAAUGCCGGAUAACAUUUAGAACCGCAUGGUUCUAAAGUGAAAGAUGGUUUUGCUAUCACUUAUAGAUGGACCCGCGCCGUAUUAGCUAGUUGGUAAGGUAACGGCUUACCAAGGCAACGAUACGUAGCCGACCUGAGAGGGUGAUCGGCCACACUGGAACUGAGACACGGUCCAGACUCCUACGGGAGGCAGCAGUAGGGAAUCUUCCGCAAUGGGCGAAAGCCUGACGGAGCAACGCCGCGUGAGUGAUGAAGGUCUUCGGAUCGUAAAACUCUGUUAUUAGGGAAGAACAAAUGUGUAAGUAACUGUGCACGUCUUGACGGUACCUAAUCAGAAAGCCACGGCUAACUACGUG